rnacentral:rRNA from 1 species
UACGGAGGGUGCAAGCGUUAUCCGGAUUCACUGGGUUUAAAGGGUGCGUAGGCGGGCAUGUAAGUCCGUGGUGAAAUCUCCGAGCUUAACUCGGAAACUGCCAUGGAUACUAUGUGUCUUGAAUGUUGUGGAGGUGAGCGGAAUAUGUCAUGUAGCGGUGAAAUGCUUAGAGAUUGGAAAGAACACCAAUGGCGAAAGCACUUUACUGGGCUAUGACUGACACUGAGAGACGAAAGCUAGGGUAGCAAAUGGG